UUAGGGAAUCAUCCGCAAUGGACGAAAGUCUGACGGUGCAACGCCGCCUGAGUGAUGAAGGUCUUYGGAUUGUAAAGCUYUGUUGUUAGGGAAGAACAAGUGCCGUUCAAAUAGGGCGGCACCUUGACGGUACCUAACCAGAAAGCCCCGGCUAACGUACGUGCCAGCAGCCGCGGUAAUACGUAGGGGGCAAGCGUUGUCCGGAAUUAUUGGGCGUAAAGCGCGCGCAGGCGGUUCCUUAAGUCUGAUGUGAAAGCCCACGGCUCAACCGUGGAGGGUCAUUGGAAACUGGGGAACUUGAGUGUAGGAGAGGAAAGUGGAAUUCCAAGUGUAGCGGUGAAAUGCGUAAAUAUUUGGAGGAACACCAGUGGCGAAGGCGACUUUCUGGCCUACAACUGACGCUGAGGCGCGAAAGCGUGGGGAGCAAACAGGAUUAGAUACCCUGGUAGUCCACGCCGUAAACGAUGAGUGCUAGGUGUUAGGGGUUUCGAUACCCUUAGUGCCGAAGUUAACACAUUAAGCACUCCGCCKGGRGAGUACGGUCGCAAGACUG
rnacentral:rRNA from 1 species